GGAAAUAUUAAUAAAUCUAUGUCAUUUAUAAUCACACAAUAUUUCAUACAUUUGUUUAUAACAACCAAAUACUGUAAACAACCCAAAUGUACAUUAACAAGAGAAUGGAUAAACUGCAGUACAUUCACAAAAUGAAACAGUGCUCAGAAAUUUUUAAGAAGCACAAACUAUUGCUGUUGAAUCUCCCAAAAGCAUAACAUUAAGCAAGACAGACCAAAAAAACAAACAAAAAAACUCCACUUGCAACUGUAUUCCACUUGCAUAAAUUUCUAGAACAGGCAAAACCAACAUACUGUAAUAGAAAUCUGAAAGGGGUUUAUCUGUGGAUCAGGGAAAUUGACUGAAAAGGGGCUUAGGAGAAAUUUCUAUAGCUUGCUUUGGGUGCUGGUUCCACAGGUGCACUCAAUUAUCAAAAGCCAUCAAACUGAACGUCUAAGAUCUAUGUUAACUGUAUGUUAAUUACAUCUCUCUCACUCUCUCUCCCUCUCUCUUUUUUUAAAGUACUGCUUUAUAUAUUCUUCACAAACUAAAUACGAUGUGACCAGCAUCUGGAUCAAGAACAAAACAUUGUCAACACUUGUUGACAAUGCCUUCCUCACGUUUGCUCAAAGUCACGAACCCAAAAGGGUUGGUUUUGUUUGUUUUUGAAGUAUACAGCAGGUCCACAUUAAGUAGUGCUUUUUGUGUCCUGUUUAUACAAUCUUUUCCUACUCCGAGGCCAUGAAGAUAUUCUCCUAUUUUUCUCAAAAGGUUUUAUCUUUCACAUUUAGAUCUGCAAUGCAUCUAGAAUUGAUUUUUGUAUAUGAUGUGAGGUGGGGAUCAAGAUACAUUUUUUUAAAUAUGCAUAUAUAAAAUGAUUCAUUACCCUUUAUUUAAAGGACCAUCUUUUUACAAUUGCAGUAUCUCCUUCCUUUGUCAUAAAUCAGUUGAGUGUGCAUGUGUGGAGUUGUUUCUGGAUUCUCUAUUCUGUUCCAUUGGUCAGUGUGAUGACACCUGCACCAAUACCCUACUAUAUAUUAAUUAGUAUGGCUUAAUAAUAGAUUUUGAUACCUG
rnacentral:lncRNA from 1 species